rnacentral:tRNA from 1 species
GGGAUUGUGGCUCAGUGGCAGAGUGCUUACCUUACAUGCAUGAGGCCCUGGGUUCGAUUCCUCAGCACCA